rnacentral:tRNA from 1 species
GGGGUUGUGGCUCAGUGGUAGAGCUCUUUCCUGGCAUGUGUGAGAUACUGGGUCAGAUCCUCAGCACCACA